GUGUUUGCUUCGGCAGCACAUAUACUAAAAUUGGAAAGAUACAGGGAAGAUUGGCAUGCCCCCUGUGCAAGGAUGACACGCAAACUCGUAAAGCAUUCCAUAUUUUU
ensembl:snRNA U6 U6 spliceosomal RNA